GAAAGCUGGAUGAGAUCGAAAGACUCAUGUCCUGUUUGGAGAGGGGGUGCCCGGAAAAGUGCCGUGAUAAACAGUAACUCGCUGGCGCUCUACUCUAC
rnacentral:ncRNA from 2 species